AGGUCUGGUGUCGAGCUCUAAGUCCAGCCUGUCUCACCUCUUGAGUCGUCCUGAAGGAGGAAAUGUUGCUGUCAUCGCAGUGGGCGGAGCUCCAGAGUCUCUGGACGCUCGACCCGGAGCUUUGACGCUGCAGGUUCAAAACAGGAAGGGCUUCAUCAAACUGGCUCUGAGACAUGGGGCUCUGCUGGUUCCAGUUUUUUCUUUUGGAGAAAACGAGUUGUUUGAUUAGAUAAAGAAUCCUUCAGGUUCCAAUCUGAGGACGCUACAGAACCAGCUGCAGAGCAUCAUGGGAUUUGCAGUUCCUCUGUUUCAUGCCAGAGGAGUUUUCUAGUACAGCCUCGGCCUGAUGCCGUACAGGAAGUCCAUCCACACCGUAGUGGGAAAACCGAUCUUGGUCGCCCAGACUCCUUGUCCCAGCAGCGAGGACAUCGAGAGUCUUCAUCGAGUUUAUCUGACGUGUCUCAAAGACCUGUUCGAGCAGAACAAACACGCUUACGGCUUCAAUGACGACCAGCACCUCACAUUCAAAUGACUGUGUCACAUGUCAUCACCUGCACAUGACCUGUCAAUAAACAGCUGACCACA